GAUGAACGCUGGCGGCGUGCCUAAUACAUGCAAGUCGAGCGGAAACACUUCGGGUGUCGAGCGGCGGACGGCUGAGUAGCGCGUAGGAAUGUACCCCAAAGUGAGGAAUAACUGCCCGAAAGGGUAGCUAAUGCCGCAUGUGAUCAAUAGAUUAAAGCCUUUGGCGCUUUGGGAGCAGCCUGCGUAUGAUUAGCUUGUUGGUGAGGUAAUAGCUCACCAAGGCGACGAUCAUUAGCUGGUCUGAGAGGAUGAUCAGCCAGACUGGGACUGAGACACGGCCCAGACUUCUACGGAAGGCAGCAGUAGGGAAUUUUCCACAAUGGACGAAAGUCUGAUGGAGCAACGCCGCGUGCAGGAUGAAGGCCUUCGGGUCGUAAACUGCUUUUAUGGGUGAAGAAUUUGACGGUAACCCAAGAAUAAGGGACGGCUAACUACGUGCCAGCCGCCGCCGUAACAC
rnacentral:rRNA from 1 species